AUGCUCAGUAUUUCAAGGAACAGGAGAAGCUUGAGCACAGAUUCUGAAGCAUGAAGUCACUCCUUUUCUACAAGAACCUGACAGUUUGAAGUAAUUUCUUUUGUUUCAAGCCUAUAA
rnacentral:sRNA from 1 species